UUUGCCCUUAGCCACACAGCUUAUGAGUGAAUCCAGGCAAACAGAACAAGACAAAAAACAAACAGGCUGAGCACUCUCCCCUCCUUCCUUAACUGGAGCUACACAGAAGGAGUUGAGUGAUGGUAGAUAUCAGGCCCUGGUCUGCGGCUUGGAAGUUUCCUGUGAAUAAGAAAAACAUCAUCGCUUCUUGAGUCACAAGGAUGAUAGGAUGAGAAAAAGAAAGGACAAAGGCACCAGAGGAGGAACCAGACACUGGAACAUGUCGUCUGAUGUACAUCACACCAAGAAAUAAAAAAAGAAUUGGAAAGCCAAUGUCCAAUUAUUUACUAAAACAGAAUCCACUGGAGAGAAAUGCAAAGGCAGGUAAAAAGGCAAUCUCUUAACAUGAAAACUCACAACUGUAAAAUGAGAACCUAAACUAUACAGCGACAAACUCAGGAAAAAGUCUCCAGCUACUGCUGUCUCUCAGACUCUCACAGUAUGUGUAACCACUUCCUCCUCUGCACGGAAUCACCCCAGAAGAUCAACUCUACUAGAUCAUUUGAGGACAAUGAACAAAGUCUCAAGACUGAAUUCCCACAGAAAACAUUCUCAUGAAACCACCCAAUAUUCUGGUGAAGUUAAAGAAGGGCAUGUGUUCGGAGACAACCAGAAGCAGCAAUGCUCAAAACCACAAAACUCUGGAUUGCCGACUCUGCACAUCCUGGUUCCUCUAGAUACAGUUCAGUGGCACAUUCACAAAUAAACGUUUUCAAAAACUGCCCUCAGGCAGUUCUAGAGAAAUGCUUUGACUUGCCUAAUGGUAUAAUGUCAAGAAAGGAAGACGAGCACUGAUCAUUCAUACUCAUUAUUACAGUCACAGGGCACUGUCUGACUUGACAGAUACAGCCGAGCAGUUAAAAGGUUAUGGGAAUUUAAGUCCAUUAUGGUCAUACGAUUCUUAUGGACCCAGAGAUAUGAAAUUAAUCAGCCACAUGUGUAGGGACAAAGUUUGUCAUAAAUAGAUAUAAGUUAUCUGCAUGCUAAGAACUUAGUUACUUAACUCUGUUUCCUCAUGUUAAUAUAAACAUAAUUAUAGAAUGCAAAUGAAAUACUUAGCCUGGAGCCUAUUAUAUAGGAAGCACUCAAUAAUUUCAAACUAUUGAGUAUAUUAUUAGAUAGGCUCCAUAAUUAUUUAUUCCUUUUUCAACAGACAGUAUGAUCUAUUGAAAAUAAAGCCAAACUAGAUUUCUUUGACCCACUCCUUUUUCUGUUUGUAUUGUUGGCAAGUUGUUCUAAAUCAACUUGCCAACAUACUAUUAACAUGUUAUUAACAUAGAAGGGAUGCUUAUUUUGUUUGCUUUGUAAGAAAUGCUUCUGAUUCAGUAACUGGGCAAUUUAUUUAAAUAUAAGUAAAAAGCAGAUUUUAUUAAAAACUACUUUGUGCUAUCAUAAAUAACUCAUUGUUCUCUGUGAUUCAGAAGUGGAUUUAUUAUUCUUUUGGGGUUGGGGAAGGCACUGAGACUGGUUUCAGCACUGAUAUUUUGCUUUGGUCCACAGACAGUCCAAGUCUAAUGAGUUACUAAAGGAAAAUGACAUUUUACUGAACUGUUUUCUUCAUAAAUAUAACAGAAUGUAGGAAAAAUCAACAGUAAAACAGAUGUACCUAAAAUAUUAUUAUUCCUCAUGUAAGAAAACCAUCUUGAAA
rnacentral:lncRNA from 1 species